AAAUACUGGAAUGAUGAUUUUUAUGUUGGUUUGUUUGUCGCCGAUUGAUUAAACUUACUGCUGUCUUCUAUUUUAUUGUUGAAGUGGGAUCAAAAUUUACAAUGCUCAAAGAAAUAGGUCUGGCCGGAAAUCAAUAGUGUGGCAAAACAUGGGGGGUAUUCCGGCACAACAAAAUGUGAAGGACUGUGGCAUAUUCAUCAUGCGGUACAUGAAGGAAAUAAUUGAGGAUAAGAACCUGGGUUUUGCUUCAAAGGUAAAGCCUUAAAUUUUAGUUCGACAGCUUUAUAACUUAAUGUUCUUGUUGCUGCAUGAUGUUGUGAUGUUGAGAUUGUACUAUGCCUUUUGUUUCAGUGGCAGCGACGAUCCGAAUUGUUCUACACCCAAAAGGAUGUUGAUGUUGUGAGGUCAGAGUGGGCUAAGUUUGUGAUGAAGUAUCAUAUUGCAUAGCUGUGAUGGUUGUUCAAGGCAGGGCUCUUAUUUUGGUAUUUUGAUCACCUGCCUACUGCUAGCUGAUUUUAGUUUUUGCUUUAGUUAUAGGCAUGGUUAAUGCGCAGUUGAAGGCAUUUUUGUUUUGGUAUUUUGAUGAGCCUCCUGCUAGCUAGUUUUAGUUUUUGCUUUAGUUAUAGGCAUGGUUAAUGCAAUGUGGACGCGUUUAUGUUUUCCGGGCUUUAUGCAGUUAUAGCCACUUAGGCAAUGUUAAUUCUUAUGUAAAUGUUGGGAUGAAUAUUGCUGAUGAAUGAAAUGGCUUUUGGAAUCAA